rnacentral:rRNA from 1 species
UACGAAGGGGGCUAGCGUUGUUCGGAUUUACUGGGCGUAAAGCGCACGUAGGCGGAUCGUUAAGUCGGGGGUGAAAUCCUGGAGCUCAACUCCAGAACUGCCUUCGAUACUGGCGAUCUUGAGUCCGGAAGAGGUGAGUGGAACUCCUAGUGUAGAGGUGGAAUUCGUAGAUAUUGGGAAGAACACCGGUGGCGAAGGCGGCCAUCUGGACCGCAACUGACGCUGAGGCGCGAAAGCGUGGGGAGCAAACAGG